rnacentral:rRNA from 1 species
UACGUAGGGGGCAAGCGUUGUCCGGAUUUAUUGGGCGUAAAGAGCGUGUAGGCGGCCAGACAGGUCCGUUGUGAAAACUCGGAGGCUCAACCUCGAGACGCCGAUGGAAACCGUCUGGCUAGAGUCCGGAAGAGGAGAGUGGAAUUCCUGGUGUAGCGGUGAAAUGCGCAGAUAUCAGGAAGAACACCCGUGGCUAAGGCGGCUCUCUAGUACGGUACUGACGCUGAGACGCGAAAGCGUGGGGAGCGAACAGG